rnacentral:rRNA from 1 species
GACGAACGCUGGCGGCGUGCCUAAUACAUGCAAGUCGAACGAGAGCGACCGGUGCUUGCACUGGUCAAUCUAGUGGCGAACGGGUGAGUAACACGUGGGUAACCUGCCCACCAGAGGGGGAUAAUAUCCGGAAACGGAUGCUAAAACCGCAUAGGUCUUCGAACCGCAUGGUUUGAAGAGGAAAAGAGGCGCAUGCUUCUGCUGAUGGAUGGACCCGCGGUGCAUUAGCUAGUUGGUGAGGUAACGGCUCACCAAGGUCGUGAUGCAUAGCCGACCUGAGAGGGUGGUCGGCCAGAUUGUGAGUGAGACACGGCCCAAACUCCUGCGGGAGGCAGCAGUAGGGAAUCUUACGCAAUGGACGCGAGUCGGACGGAGCAACGUCGCGUGAGUGAAGAAGGUUUUCUGAUCGUAAAGCUCUGUUGUUAGUGAAGAACAAGUGCUAGAGUAACUGUUAGCGCCUUGACGGUAUCUAGCCAGAAAGCCACGGCUAACUACGUG